rnacentral:rRNA from 1 species
UGGGGAAUUUUGGACAAUGGGCGCAAGCCUGAUCCAGCCAUGCCGCGUGAGUGAAGAAGGCCUUCGGGUUGUAAAGCUCUUUCGGUGGGGAAGAAAUUGCACGGGUUAAUACCCUGUGUAGAUGACGGUACCCGAAUAAGAAGCACCGGCUAACUACGUGCCAGCAGCCGCGGUAAUACGUAGGGUGCGAGCGUUAAUCGGAAUUACUGGGCGUAAAGCGUGCGCAGGCGGUUUGGUAAGUCAGAUGUGAAAUCCCCGGGCUCAACCUGGGAACUGCAUUUGAGACUGCCAAGCUGGAGUUUGGCAGAGGGGGGUGGAAUUCCACGUGUAGCAGUGAAAUGCGUAGAGAUGUGGAGGAACACCGAUGGCGAAGGCAGCCCCCUGGGCCAAUACUGACGCUCAUGCACGAAAGCGUGGGGAGCAAACAGGAUUAGAUACCCUGGUAGUCCACGCCCUAAACGAUGUCAACUAGGUGUUGGGAGGGUUAAACCUUUUAGUGCCGUAGCUAACGCGUGAAGUUGACCGCCUGGGGAGUACGGCCGCAAGGCUAA